CAAAGAGAAGCAAGACCGCGAGGUGGAGCAAAACUCAAAAAAUGGUCUCAGUUCGGACUGCAGGCUGCAACCCGCCUGCACGAAGUUGGAAUUGCUAGUAAUCGCGGAUCAGAAUGCCGCGGUGAAUACGUUCCCGGGUCUUGUACACACCGCCCGUCACACCAUGGGAGCCGGGAAUGCCCGAAGUCGGUGACCCAACCGUAAGGAGGGAGCCGCCGAAGGCAGGCCUGGUAACUGGGGUGAAGUCGUAACAAGGUAAC
rnacentral:rRNA from 1 species